CAUAAGGUGACUGAAAAUAAGUACUGGUCUCUUAAACCAUUUUAUAGUAGUUUAAUACCUACUCCUCAUGA
rnacentral:tRNA from 1 species